rnacentral:rRNA from 1 species
GACGAACGCUGGCGGCGUGCUUAACACAUGCAAGUCGAGCGGAGCGGCGAACGGGUGAGUAACGCGUGAGUAACUGCCCCCCUCCCUGGGAUAACAGUUGGACACGGCUGCUAAUCCCGGAUAGUGGGGGAUGAUUCGGGUCCUCUCAGCAUGUUGGUGGGGUAGGGGCCUACCAAGGCGACGACGGGUAGCCGGCCUGGGAGGGCGACCGGCCAAAUUGGGCAGAGUUACAGCCCAGGGUGCGGCGGGAGGCAGCGGGGGAGGAGAGUGCGCCAGGGGGGAAGCCCUGAUGCAGCAACGCGCGUGCGGGAUGACGGCCUUCGGGUUGUAAACCGCUUUCAGCCAUGACGCGGUAGUGGCAGAAGAAGCACCGGCUAACUACGUGCCAGCAGCCGCGGUAAUAC